rnacentral:tRNA from 1 species
AGGCGUAGUUUAGUGGUAAAAUGUCAGCUUCCCAAGCUGAGGUUACGGGUUCGAUUCCCGCCGCCUG